rnacentral:rRNA from 1 species
GACGAACGCUGGCGGCGUGCUUAACACAUGCAAGUCGAGCGGUAAGGCCCUUUCGGGGGUACGACGAGCGGCGAACGGGUGAGUAACACGUGGGUGACCUGCCCUCAGCUCUGGGAUAAGCCUGGGAAACCGGGUCUAAUACUGGAUAUGACUCCAUGACGCAUGUUGUGGGGUGGAAAGCCUUGUGCGGCUGAGGAUGGGCCCGCGGCCUAUCAGCUUGUUGGUGGGGNGAUGGCCUACCAAGGCGACGACGGGUAGCCGGCCUGAGAGGGCGACCGGCCACACUGGGACUGAGACACGGCCCAGAUUCCUACGGGAGGGCAGCAGUGGGGAAUCUUGCGCAAUGGGCGAAAGCCUGACGCAGCGACGCCGCGUGAGGGAUGACGGCCU